UACGUAGGGUGCAAGCGUUAAUCGGAAUUACUGGGCGUAAAGCGUGCGCAGGCGGUUGUGCAAGACAGAUGUGAAAUCCCCGGGCUCAACCUGGGAACUGCAUUUGUGACUGCACAGCUUGAGUGCGGCAGAGGGGGAUGGAAUUCCGCGUGUAGCAGUGAAAUGCGCAGAUAUGCGGAGGAACACCGAUGGCGAAGGCAAUCCCCUGGGCCUGCACUGACGCUCAUGCACGAAAGCGUGGGGAGCAAACAGG
rnacentral:rRNA from 1 species